AUUCCAGCUCCAGGAGCGUAUAUUUAAGUUGUUGCAUGUUAAAAAGCUCGUAGUUGGAUUUCGGGUGGGUUCCAGCGGUCUGCCUCUGGUUUGUACUGCUGAGGCUCAUCUUUCUGCCGGGGACGGGCUCCUGGGCUUGACUGUCCGGGACUCGGAAUCGGCGUGGUUACUUUGAGUAAAUUAGAGUGUUCAAAGCAAGCCUACGCUCUGAAUACAUUAGCAUGGAAUAACACGAUAGGACUCUGGCCUAUCUUGUUGGUCUGUAGGACCGGAGUAAUGAUUAAGAGGGACAGUCGGGGGCAUUCGUAUUUCAUUGUCAGAGGUGAAAUUCUUGGAUUUAUGAAAGACGAACUUCUGCGAAAGCAUUUGCCAAGGAUGUUCUCAUUAAUCAAGAACGAAAGUUGGGGGCUCGAAGACGAUUAUAUACCGUCGUAGUCUCAACCAUAAACGAUGCCGACUAGGGAUUGGCAGGUGUUUUAUUGAUGACCCUGCCAGCACCUUAUGAGAAAUCAAAGUUUUUGGGUUCCGGGGGGAGUAUGGUCGCAAGGCUGAAACUUAAAGGAAUUGACGGAAGGGCACCACCAGGCGUGGAGCCUGCGGCUUUAUUUGACUCAACACGGGAAAACUUACCAGGUCCAGACACGGGAAGGAUUGACAGAUUGAGAGCUCUUUCUUGAUUCUGUGGGUGGUGGUGCAUGGCCGUUCUUAGUUGGUGGGUUGCCUUGUCAGGUUGAUUCCGGUAACGAACGAGACCUCAGCCUGCUAAUAGUCAAGGGUACCUUUGGUAUCCGCCUGACUUCUUAGAGGGACUAUUGGCGUUUAGCCAAUGGA
rnacentral:rRNA from 1 species